CAAUUUAUAGCUUAAUUAAAGCAUCUUGCUUACACCAAGAAAAUACUUAUUAAACUUGAGUUAAGUUGA
rnacentral:tRNA from 1 species